GGAUGGGUGGCCGAGCGGUUGAAGGCAGCGGUCUUGAAAACCGCCGUGCGUGCGAGCGUACCGUGGGUUCGAAUCCCACCCCAUCCGCCA
rnacentral:tRNA from 1 species